GUAUUAGGUUGGUGCAAAAGUAAUUGCAGUUUUUGCCAUUACUUUCAAUGGUAAAAACCGCAAUUACUUUAGCACCAACCUAAUAU
ensembl:miRNA